CGGGGAAUAUUGCGCAAUGGGCGAAAGCCUGACGCAGCGACACCGCGUGAGGGAUGACGGCCUUCGGGUUGUAAACCUCUUUCAGCUCCGACGAAGCGAAAGUGACGGUAGGGGCAGAAGAAGCACCGGCCAACUACGUGCCAGCAGCCGCGGUAAUACGUAGGGUGCAAGCGUUGUCCGGAUUUAUUGGGCGUAAAGAGCUCGUAGGCGGUCAGUCGCGUCGAUCGUGAAAGCCCGAGGCUCAACCUCGGAAUUGCGGUCGAUACGGGCUGACUAGAGUUCGGUAGGGGAGACUGGAAUUCCUGGUGUAGCGGUGAAAUGCGCAGAUAUCAGGAGGAACACCGGUGGCGAAGGCGGGUCUCUGGGCCGAUACUGACGCUGAGGAGCGAAAGCGUGGGGAGCGAACAGGAUUAGAUACCCUGGUAGUCCACGCCGUAAACGUUGGGCGCUAGGUGUGGGCUCCAUUCCACGGAGUCUGUGCCGCAGCUAACGCAUUAAGCGCCCCGCCUGGGGGA
rnacentral:rRNA from 1 species